CCUCCCAUCCCGAAUGCAAACCCACUUCCUUCUGCCGGUUGGUGUAGUUAAGCUAAGUCGGUGCUACAUCAAACUAGGCUAGGCUGAGAGAAGUGGAAAGUGGAUUUAGGGGACAAUACUGCCCCAGCAGGAAGAAAGGCUCUCGUUUGGCAUUCUGUUGAUUUAACAGUUUAAAACGAAAAAGGAUUUUGUAGCUUCUGCACUAAAACUCAGGCCCCUUGAGUCACAAUUCUUUAAAUGGAGCUAUUCUCUUAAGUCUAAUGUCUGUUGUAAAAAUGUAAACGGAUAUCAUUCCUCCCUUCCCCUCAAGAUGGUAUUUUAGGACCAAACCUUUCUCUCAAUUUUAAUAAUUUAUCAUAAUAAACUAAUAAAUAAAUUAAAAGGCCAAAAGUUUUUCCUGCAAAAAACCAUUCCUUACCUGCUUCCCCCAACUCUUUAUACAGAUAUUUAUAGUGAGUAAAAUUCAAAUCAAAAUUGGCAUAUCUGUGUAAGAUGCUCCCAUAAGUAUUUCAAUCCUUGCAGGAAAACUUGAAACAACCUGUUAUAGGCAGUUUAUAUUAUUUUCUUUCUGCAUCCUUUUUCCAAAUGUUGCCCAUUUUUAUUAAACCGAUUGUGUUUUUCCAAGAGUUCACACUUCCUCUUGUAAAUUCCCCACUUGAGGUCGAAAUCCUCUGUGAAAUAAGCAUUUCCACAGCAACCCAGUGAUGUCACGAACAUUGGCUCACCGUUUCAGAGGGGAAAGAGGAGGAAAGGAUCUCUCUAGAAAGACAGCUUCUGUUUUCUUGCAAAUAGCAUCACUCCUAGUAGAGAUUCAGAAAACAGAUUUCUGGCUAAAUACCUGUUUUCUUUUUCUGAGAUUGACUUAUUUUUCAAAGAUAUGUCAAAUGAUCUUUUAAAAAAAUAGGUCACCAUUCCCUUUUCUGGGUUCGUGAAGAAUAGUGUUUCAAAUCAGUGGUCCCUAACCUCCCUGGCCACUAUGGAUUUUAAUAAAGGGGAAAAGGAUUUUUUCCUAAAAACAUGAUGUCAAAAAUAACACUGAGAGAUGGAAUUUAAUGUACUAAAUUCAGACCCAAAUGAUGCUGACUGACCUGGCUUUAAAAAUACAAUAGUUUUUAAGAAGUAUUAAACCCACAGAAGUUCUAUUGGUGAUCUCACCGAUG
rnacentral:lncRNA from 1 species